AAACCAACAGGGAUUACCUCAGUAACGGCGAGUGAAGCGGUAACAGCUCAAAUUUGAAAUCUGGGUCUUUCAGGCUCCGAGUUGUAAUUUGUAGAAGAUGCUUCGGGUGCGGCUCCGGUCUAAGUUCCUUGGAACAGGAUGUCAUAGAGGGUGAGAAUCCCGUAUGUGAUCGGUUGCUUGCGCCCAUGUGAAGCUCUUUCGACGAGUCGAGUUGUUUGGGAAUGCAGCUCAAAAUGGGUGGUAAAUUUCAUCUAAAGCUAAAUAUUGGCCAGAGACCGAUAGCGCACAAGUAGAGUGAUCGAAAGAUGAAAAGCACUUUGGAAAGAGAGUUAAACAGUACGUGAAAUUGUUGAAAGGGAAGCGCUUGCAACCAGACUUGCGCGUUGCCGAUCAUCCGGGGUUCUCCCCGGUGCACUCGGCCUCGCUCAGGCCAGCAUCGGUUUUGGUGGUGGGAUAAAGGCCUUGGGAAUGUAGCUCCUUUCGGGGAGUGUUAUAGCCCUCGGUGCAAUGCCGCCUACCGGGACCGAGGACCGCGCUUCGGCUAGGAUGCUGGCGUAAUGGUUGUAAGCGAC
rnacentral:rRNA from 1 species